rnacentral:rRNA from 1 species
CACGUAGGGCGCAAGCGUUGUCCGGAAUUAUUGGGCGUAAAGAGCUCGUAGGCGGUCUAUUGCGUCCGCUGUGAAAACUCGGGGCUUAACCCCGAGCCUGCAGUGGAUACGGGCAGACUAGAGGUAGGUAGGGGAGAAUGGAAUUCCCGGUGUAGCGGUGAAAUGCGCAGAUAUCGGGAGGAACACCAAUUGCGAAGGCAGCUCGCUGGGACGUCACUGACGCUGAGACGCGAAAGCGUGGGGAGCAAACAGG